rnacentral:rRNA from 1 species
UUGCACAGGUGCUGCAUGGCUGUCGUCAGCUCGUGUCGUGAGAUGUUCGGUUAAGUCCGCUAACGAGCGCAACCCUCACUGUGUGUUAUAUGUGUCACACGGGACUGCCGGUUUUAAGCCGGAGGAAGGUGGGGAUGACGUCAAGUCAGCAUGGCCUUUAUAUCCUGGGCUACACACACGCUACAAUGGUCGGUACAAUAGGUUGCCAAGCCGCGAGGCGGAGCCAAUCCACAAAGCCGGCCUCAGUUCAGAUUGUAGGCUGCAACUCGCCUGCAUGAAGAUGGAGUUGCUAGUAACCGCAGGUCAGCAAUACUGCGGUGAAUACGUUCCCGGGUCUU